GUGCCAGCAGCCGCGGUAAUACGGAGGGUGCAAGCGUUAUCCGGAUUUACUGGGUUUAAAGGGUGCGUAGGCGGAUCUUUAAGUCAGUGGUGAAAUCUCUCGGCUCAACCGAGAAACUGCCAUUGAUACUAUUGAUCUUGAAUACAGUUGAGGUGGGCGGAAUGUGUCGUGUAGCGGUGAAAUGCUUAGAUAUGACACAGAACACCGAUUGCGAAGGCAGCUCGCUAAACUGUGAUUGACGCUGAGGCACGAAAGCGUGGGGAUCAAACAGGAUUAGAUACCCUGGUAGUCC
rnacentral:rRNA from 1 species